rnacentral:misc_RNA from 1 species
UCUCCGUUGGUGAACCAGCGGAGGGAUCAUUAUAGAGUUUUCUAAACUCCCAACCCUUUGUGAACUUACCUUUGUUGCCUCGGCGGGCCUCUGAGAUUCGUCUCACGUCCGCCGGCGGCCCAUUAAACUCUGUUACUUUUAAGCAAUCUGAGUCUUUUAUAAAAUAAAGUCAAAACUUUCAACAACGGAUCUCUUGGUUCUGGCAUCGAUGAAGAACGCAGC